rnacentral:rRNA from 1 species
UGGUGGAGGCGCCUCGGGCGCACCCAGAAACCCUUUGUGAACUUAUACCUUAUUGUUGCCUCGGCGCAGGCCGGCCCCCUUCUGGGGGGCCCCUCGUUUCUGACGAGGAGCAGGCUCGCCGGCGGCCAAGUUAACUCUUGUUUUUUAUUGUGAAACUCUGAGAAUAAAACAUAAAUGAAUCAAAACUUUCAACAACGGAUCUCUUGGUUCUGGCAUCGAUGAAGAACGCAGCGAAAUGCGAUAAGUAAUGUGAAUUGCAGAAUUCAGUGAAUCAUCGAAUCUUUGAACGCACAUUGCGCCCUCUGGUAUUCCGGAGGGCAUGCCUGUUCGAGCGUCAUUUCAACCCUCAAGCCUGGCUUGGUGAUGGGGCACUGCCUUGUGUAAAAGCGAGGCAGGCCCUGAAAUUCAGUGGCGAGCUCGCCAGGACUCCGAGCGCAGUAGUUAAACCCUCGCUUUGGAAGGACUGGCGGUGCCCUGCCGUUAAACCCCCAACUUUUGAAUAUUUGACCUCGGAUCAGGUAGGAAUACCCGCUGAACUUAAGCAUAUCAAUAAGGCGGAGGAAUCUUGCGGGAAAGCGCCUCAGCGCACCCAGAAACCCUUUGUGAACUUAUCCUUAUUGUUGCCUGGCGCAGCCGGCCCCCUUCUGGGGGGCCCCUCGUUUCUGAAAGGAGCAGGCUCCCGGCGACAAAUUACUCUGUUUUUUAUUGUGAAACUCGAAAAAAA